AUGAAUCCCAGGCUCCUGGUUGGAACAAGAGGUCAGUGUCUCGGCGAUAACAUUAAAUUCAGCAUUCAUAGGAAGAUUUUCAGUACUAUAUUUCCAUGCUUUGUAAGGUUGAGGAUUGGAGCCUCUGCCCCAAGCUUGACACCUUGCCCAACCCGCAUAAGCGCUUUUGAGAAGGCCGUGAGUGUGUUCGUAGAAAACCCAACUGAAGAUAAGCCGUGGCUUGUAAUUUGGAUGAACUAA
rnacentral:rRNA from 1 species